GAUGAAGAACGUAGCGAAAUGCGAUAAGUAAUGUGAAUUGCAGAAUUCAGUGAAUCAUCGAAUCUUUGAACGCACAUUGCGCCCAUUAGUAUUCUAGUGGGCAUGCCUGUUCGAGCGUCAUUUCAACCCUUAAGCCUAGCUUAGUGUUGGGAGACUGCCUAAUACGCAGCUCCUCAAAACCAGUGGCGGAGUCUGUUCGUGCUCUGAGCGUAGUAAUUUUUUAUCUCGCUUCUGCAAGCCGGCCAGACGACAGCCAUAAACCGCACCCUCUCGGGGGGCACUUUUUUAAUGGUUGACCUCGGAUCAGGUAGGAAUACCCGCUGAACUUAAGCAUAUCAGUAAGCGGAGGA
rnacentral:misc_RNA from 1 species